rnacentral:sRNA from 1 species
UUUUAGCCCCGAUAGAAGUGAAAAUCCUUUUGUGCCGGGGUUCGGCACAAAAGAUUGUAACGGAUAGCGGGAUUAGCU